AGUCGAGGGGCAGCGGGACAUUUCGGUGUUGCCGGCGACCGGCGGACGGGUGCGUAACGCACAUGCAAUCUGCUUUACACUGGGGAAUAGCCUCCGGAAACGGGAAUUAAUACCCCAUAUAAUCUUACUGACGCAUGUUAGAAAGAUCAAAGCUCAGGCGGUGUAAAAUGAGCGUGUGUCCUAUUAGCUAGUUGGAGAGGUAAUGGCUCACCAAGGCUACGAUGGGUAGGGGUUCUUAGUGGAAGGUCCCCCACACUGGCACUGAGAUACGGGCCAGACUCCUACGGGAGGCAGCAGUAGGGAAUAUUGGUCAAUGGGCGCAAGCCUGAACCAGCCAUGCCGCGUGCAGGAUGAAGGCUCUCUGAGUUGUAAACUGCUUUUGUACAGGAGCAAAAAAGUCCCUGCGGGGACUCUUGAGAGUACUGUAAGAAUAAGCACCGGCUAAUUCCGUGCCAGCAGCCGCGGUAAUACGGAAGGUGCAAGCGUUAUCCGGUUUUAUUGGGUUUAAAGGGUGCGUAGGCGGCUUAUUAAGUCAGUUGUGAAAUCCUAGUGCUUAACGCUAGAACUGCGAUUGAUACUAUUAGGCUUGAGUUAAGAAGAGGUAGGCAGAAUUUAUGGUGUAGUAGUGAAAUGCUUAGAUAUCAUAAGGAAUACCAAUAGCGUAGGCAGCUUACUGGUCUUUAACUGACGCUGAGGCACGAAAGCGUGGGGAGCAAACAGGAUUAGAUACCCUGGUAGUCCACGCUGUAAACGAUGAUCACUCGAUAUACAUGAAACCUCAUGCGUGUCUAAGCGAAAGCGUUAAGUGAUCCACCUGGGGAGUAUACUCGCAAGGGUGAAACUCAAAGGAAUUGAC
rnacentral:rRNA from 1 species